GCAGAUAACAUGUCCUGACUUAUUCCUGCAGCUUCUGUGAAUUAUAAGAAGCAACGUGACUCACAGGUGUUACGUCUGGGCGAAACGCAAACACGUGUCCCGGGGCUCUGGGAUUCUCAGUUCCUUUUCUUUUCCGAGGAACUUAUUUUACUGCGGUCAUUGUUUAACCACAUGGUUAUUAAUAGCAGUUGAAGAGGUCAAGAAUUGUUGGCGGAGCUGCCAGGACCAAUUCAGAAUAGAAAUGAAGCAUCAUGGGCGGAGUGGUUCCGGGCCACCCAAGAAAAGGCCCUAUAUAUUCAAGGAGCAGCUGAUGUUCCUCCGUGACGUCAUGGAGCUGCGUCCAACGGAGGACAACCUAGAGGAGGAAGGGGAAGAGUCGGUUCCGCAGCUAUCAAGCGCCUGCGAAGAAGACACUACUACUGGGGCCGUGCAGAUGGAGAAUGUGGCAGGAGCCAGCACGUCAGACCCAUCCGGCCCAGACGACGGCCAGUGCCUCCUGCCGAGACUCAUGUGAACACGCAGGUUCUUAAAUAUUCAUCUCGAGCUUUGCAGGGGGAUCAUCACGAUCUAUUUGGCCGGGGUCUGGCCCAUUAUAUGUGCCAGCUGCCUCCAGAACGAUUACUGAGAACCAGACGGUCUCUCGAAAUCGUUCUGGAGGCAGCCACUCCCCCCACGACCCUACAGAAAUGUUUUCCGCCCUGGAAAACGUGAGCCUCCAUUGGCACAUGUUUGGCCCCCACCCAAUGCCACUUUCACAGGGCUCACAGGGUCACCAACAAUUCCCUCCUCAAAGGGAUUUUUAUCCCUUUAUUUUAUUUAUGGGCCACAGUAUCAGGGGCAAUCUAUGUAUGGCCAGCAUGUCCCCUCCUCCUCGCAAGUUGGGCCAUCCCAGUAUUCCGGGCCCCCCUCCCAACAGACCCAAACACCCUACCCUGGGCCUCAGUAUCAGGGCCCCCCCCCCUCGCCAUCUGGGCGUUAUGUUAAUUUAUAAU